GACUAUUCAAAUCGAACAUGUGGGUUGUAUUGAUCUACUGAACGAGUAGCCUAUUGUAUUUAUGAGUAAGCGUUCUUCAGUAUAUGUAAUAGGCACAGUUUUAAAAUGAGAUUUAAAAAAUUUGCGUUAACUUCAUAUGUAUAAGUGAAAUCCGAAGUGCGGUGGCAGUGUUAUAUCCAAAAAGUUAAUAAAACGAAAAAAAUGUGGACUUGUCCCAGAAGCAGUAGUUAAACUAAGCAUUUCCUGUACUAUUAUUGGCCAAAUAAAAAGCUUUAAACUA